GCGGUUGCCUAGUGGUUAGAGCGUCCACCUCGGAUGUGGGAGGUCAUGGGUUCGAACUCCGUCCGAGUCA